rnacentral:rRNA from 1 species
AACGAACGCUGGCGGCAUGCCUAACACAUGCAAGUCGAACGAGAUCUUCGGAUCUAGUGGCGCACGGGUGCGUAACGCGUGGGAAUCUGCCCCUUGCUUCGGAAUAACAGUGAGAAAUUACUGCUAAUACCGGAUGAUGUCUCCGGACCAAAGAUUUAUCGGCAAGGGAUGAGCCCGCGUAGGAUUAGGUAGUUGGUGGGGUAAUGGCCUACCAAGCCGACGAUCCUUAGCUGGUCUGAGAGGAUGAUCAGCCACACUGGGACUGAGACACGGCCCAGACUCCUACGGGAGGCAGCAGUGGGGAAUAUUGGACAAUGGGCGAAAGCCUGACCCAGCAAUGCCGCGUGAGUGAUGAAGGCCUUAGGGUUGUAAAGCUCUUUUACCAGGGAUGAUAAUGACAGUACCUGGAGAAUAAGCUCCGGCUAACUCCGU